GCCAACAAGGAGGGUGAAACUAAUCUGAAGGCUUUUUCCUCCUGUAUCUGCAGCAAAAGCAACAAAAGAGAAGAGGAGAGAGAUCUCACCAGGUGCAGCAUGUCAUGGAUGGAGUCAGCAGAGCGCUUUCUGUACUUGCUCCACUUCAGGACGGACAUAGCCCAGUGCAGGCGGACACGGCGAGUGAGUGUGAAGAUCUGUGCAACUCUGACAACACUGGAAAUGAGGCUUAAUAUUCCUGGAACAGGGAUGUCUCCUCCUCAAGGUUGCAGGGCAGCCAGAUUGGCCGACAAAGGAGCUCCAUGAAGUGGCCUGCCUGUCACUGUGGUGUCUAUAUGUUUGUGCAUCUCUUGGUCAGGUUGUGCUGUGAAGUCAAAUUUCUUUGUACCAGGAUUGUGAUUCAAUGACAAUAAAGUUGAUUCCGAUACUAUGCACUCUUUUGCUUUCAUGUUAUUGUACUGUUGAGUAGAAUGGAAUUGAAUAAAAUAUAAUUAGGAGGUUUUAAGACAACAAUUUUUUUCUUUCAAGGUCAACAUUAAAUUACAAUCUUCUAUUUUGGGUUCCUAUGUUUGUAUGUCCGACUACAGUGGACUUGUGCCUCCCCAGUCGUGAAGCUCUCCACACAU